UACGAAGGGGGCUAGCGUUGUUCGGAUUUACUGGGCGUAAAGCGCACGUAGGCGGCUUGUUAAGUCAGGGGUGAAAUCCCGGAGCUCAACUCCGGAACUGCCUUUGAUACUGGCAAUCUUGAGGCUGUAAGAGGUUAGUGGAAUUCCCAGUGUAGAGGUGAAAUUCGUAGAUAUUGGGAAGAACACCAGUGGCGAAGGCGGCUAACUGGUCCAGAUCUGACGCUGAGGUGCGAAAGCGUGGGGAGCAAACAGG
rnacentral:rRNA from 1 species